GGAGUGGGUCAGGAGGAGACCCCAGGACCCACGCCGAGCAGAUGGCCGUGUCGAGGCGGAGCCCAUGAGCGUCAGGGGAGCGGGGGAGCCAAUCCCUCCCUGCAGCAGCGCGGGAGCGAGCCAACGAGAUGUACUCCAAGCUGGCUAGCCAAAAUUCAAGGAACGAAGUUCACAUGAUUAAAAAAACAAAAUAAAACAACAACAACAACAACAGGACUUGACUCUUCAACAGGAAACUAUAUGAACUGGGAAGCAGAAAGUGCAGCUUUUCAGGAGAGAGGCUUGACUUUGAACUCUCAACUUUUGAACUCUUCUUGGUCUGCUUGUCUGACUCCACUACAGCAACGGUAGCAUUGCGUCGGCUGCAUUUCAUAUCAAAAUGUGUCUCUGAGAGGGAGACAAGAGGAAGUGAUGGUUACCAGGAAGAUGUUCCCUCCUCAGUUUGUCAUUGAGACUAGUUUUCUCCUGAGUCAGAGCAUCUUUUCCUUGUGAUGUUUCCUCGUGCUAACAAUUCACUUAGCAGCUUUCUCUGCUGCUGUUGCCUCUGUGUCUAAAUGUCCUUCGGGCUUUGACCUUAAACUAUACAGUGGCCAAUAGUUAAAUAAAACUAGAUAGUAAUUUCCCCUGAA